UAAAAAUCGCUUGUAGCAGGUAGCAUAAUUCUUAUCACUUAGCUUGGUUAUUCGAAGAAACGGACAUUAGUAACACAAGAAAUUGAAACUAAUAUUCUAAUAAUUAACAAAAAAUUUACUAAUGAACUUCUUAGUUAAUUAUUUUACGACACAUAUUGCAAUAUAUGAAUUGUAGCCGGUGAGUUUGCAAGACGCAUCCACCUAAAAUGAAUUUCCAGUAUAACACCAGUUUCGAGAUAUUAUUGCCCAAAGUGUGGGACGAAAUACAUGGGCGUUUUAGUUACUUUAGUUAGUUACGUUUUAGUUAUGUAUAAAACAGCAUUUUGGUAACAAAGUAAGUGUAACAACAGUGCAUUUUUACGGCGAGUUUGAUGGCGCAUAUCUCCAAACUGGUGUCAUUCUGGAAAUUCAUUCCAAGUGGAUACGCCUGAAAAGAUCACCGGCUCAAAUUCGUAAAUCGCAAUAUGUGUCGUAAAGUAAUAAAAUAAGAAGUUAAUUAGUGAUUUCUUCUUAAUUAGUUGAAUGUGUGUUUCGAUUGCUCGUGCUACUAAUGUCCGCCUCAUCGAUUAACCCAGCUCAAUGAUAAGAAUUAUGCUACCUGCCACAGGCGAUUUCUAAAACUUCCGUAAGACUUAACAAUGACCACCCUGUAUAUAUAUAUAUAUAUAUAUAUAUAUAUAUAUAUAUAUAUAUAUAUAUAGACACAAAAUUGGAGCACAAGACAAACGUCCCAACAAGCAGUGACCAAUGACCGAUGAUUGGGCACCUCCUGGAUUCCCAUCGGCUUCUAUUGUAAGUGGCCAGUGCCCUGUCUGUGUCAGAAAACGGCAUUGCCUCCAUGUUAAAUAUGGGCAAGAUGGUGGGAAAAGUAGUAUGUAAGCAUAAUAAAUAAAUAUGUUUUUUAAAGAGUGCGUUUUGUUUAGUUGUUAGCCCUUAGCGCACAAUAAAAUGAAACAAGUUUGGGUGAUCUCUGCGACGUGGUGUCCAUAUUUUACAUGAAAGCCUAGGUCUAUUCUGUAACACGUAGAGACGGGGUGCUGGCCAGUGUGCUGGGAAACUGCUUGGCCACCACGCACAAUCUACGCUGUUAUACUUUGCCGGUAGCAAAUCGUAGCGCAGAAGCACAGGUACAAAUGUUUAAUCAACGGGACGGCAUGCUGUCUACCGUUCGUCAUGAUGUCAAACUAACAAGCACGAACAGCGACAAUUGUGUACGUUGCUGGUCCGUAGUUCAUUUCGCGCCGGUUGCUUCACGUAUUAAAAUAAAUAUUUCUUUUUAAUACAAACGAUUAAAACUGUGCGCGCACACAGGGCGCGACAUUUGCGACGUUUGAAUUUUGCACUAUUUCCCGCGCGCUCCGUACGUGACCGGCCGGCGCACUGCGUUACCGCGAUAAAGAAAAUAGUUCCUCAAGGAAGCUAAGCAGAAAAUUUUCACACUCUUGCAAACCACAGAAAUUGUUAAGAAAUACCAUUAUAUUACAAGAUUUGUUAAUAAAUAUGGCAAUUCACAUCUAUGAAAGCGUGGAUUUGUAUGCGCGUUUUUGUGUGAAUGCGCGCUUGCGCUGUUGACUCUUUGGCGGAUUCCGGAACUUUGUGCGUGCGGCGUAUGUGUGCGGGUUGCGUGAUGAGUUUGCUGUGUUUUCUGUGCCCUUUGCCUCGCUGUGACAUCUUUGGUAUAUUACAACUUAUUGCUCGGUCUUUAUGGGCUACACGGUGCCUCGAAGAUCACCAUGAUCGCCUCCGACUCAGCCACAUCGAAGAAUCAAAAUGAGCCUGGAGACGCCACAGCCGGAAUGCAAAAGGUUGGAGAGGUGCUCAUUCAGAUGAUCCUGGCACAGCUUGCCAUGGUGGACCAGGCAAGUUUGCAAGGGCCUUGAUUCACCAUGUGUUCACUGAGGAGAACCUCAUGGGCCACUUACUUCUCGGAAACACCACCACCAAUAGGCAAAAAGAGGCUCUUGGCCUUAUCAGGGUCAACGCUGUUAUAGGCAAGUACCGUACAUCCUUUUACCCAUUGCAUUUUUGCCUUCACAUUUUGUACUUGGAAUUACCAGCUUGCUAUUAGCACAACAAAUGACUUUCAAGUAGCCUGUGUCUGCAACUACGUGCUACAAUAGCCUACUAUUUGGAAUGAAUGUUCAUUUGAUCUCAAGUCUCUAACGCCUCCAUACUAAAGUGCUAAAUUUUAAAAGCAGCCUUAACUGCCAGAAGUGAUUGGUGGCUCCAACUGACAAAGUUAGGUGUAUUUGCGCAUUAGUUGCACUACUUGACUGUCAUUGCAAUGAACAGUUGCAAUGAAGCAACUACCAAUCUGUAGUACCAAUCUGUGAAGCUUGCUACCAAUCUGUUGCUAUAGCGGGUGUGCUUAAGUAGCCUGAAAGUGUUGUUAUAGGAAUUGUGGAGAAGCUAUGCUCAAGUGCAGUUACUGCUCAACUCGAGGGACAGCACUUCCACCAAAUUUCAGCAAUCAAAAUGGCCCUCCAGAUUCUGUAACGCAAAACAUAGUGGUUUCACCUAUUUCAACAGACCACAUUGAAUUAAAGUUGCUCCUGUCUUGAAGGAGGUCCAUGUGGUGGCAGACAGUAGCCUUUAAGCAGAAUGAGCUUAAGUUACGGGGCAUAAUUGUUUGGUUGUUUCGAUGAAAGCAACAAUAGGAACAGUUGCCAAAUUCGUUGUCAACAUUGCUAUGUUUAGCAAUGUCCAUUCAUUCUAGGCACUCAACCAAUUAAGAUCCAAUUUAUCACAUUGUAUUCUAGGAUGUGGAAAAAACAAAGGUAUUUAUUUGACUUUUCCUCACGUUCCCAUAAAAUGAUCAGUACUCAAUAGGCCCUUGGCAGCUACUAUAUAAAGCUUAUUACAGAACAUGAGGCAUGUCCACAGCUCCCACUCUGAAAUUGUUGGAAAUGUCUCCUGCUUUCUUAAUUCAAGGACGCACUUGCCUGUUUUCAGCGUUAUUAUAAACCAGUGCUCAAGUACUAUGGGUUUAGAUUUAUCAAAGAUUGAAUGAGCUUUGUAGGUGUUCAUGUUUAACCCUUUGAGGAUCACAUAUUUUCUGGCAAACGUCCCCCAAUUUAAGUGUUAUAUUUUUAUUCUGGAUCGUUCUUCAGAGUGACCUUUCGAGAAAAAAAAUGGGUAAAUAAUUUUUUAGGUCACAAAGUGACAAAGAUUUCUUAGUGUCCGCUGUUUUACACCAUGUUUAUUGUAGCAUGCAGGGCAAACUAGCAUAAUCACAUUUUUUAAAUGUAAUGACACUCACAAAACAUUAAACUAGUUGAAUACUCCCAAACUACUGCAGUGAUGGGCACCAUAGAAUAAAGAGAAAGAUCAGUUUUGGAAGAAGCCAAGGGGCAACAGCACAAUCAGGAUUUUUGUAGAAGUCGCAGAAGGUUACAGAAUCUGUAAUGUGAUGCUUGGGGACACUUCAUUCUUAAAAGGUAUGCUUAUUUAUAUGUUCUUUCGCCGCCUCAUAUUUAUGGUCGUGACCACACGAUUUGUUUCCACCACUCUACAUGCAUGGCAGUGACCCUCAAAGGAUUAGCAGAGCCAGUCCACUUGCAUAUUUCUCUUGUAAGACUGAGCAUUUCUUCGUAUUUCUUCUUCGCAUUUAUUUGUGUUAGUGUAACCAGGUCGGCGUGCAACUGCAGUAAAUCCUCGUUAUAAGCAGUAUUUUGUUUUCAGUAGAGAGGCAUAAGAAUGGUCAUCACGAUGCGAGAAGUGCACUCCAGUAGCAUAUGAGCUUGUAAAACAAAUUCAGAUAUACCACACUCAAUUCUGGCCGCAUAACCGUAUUUGGAGCAACUCCUGCAAGGAAAAGUGCAAUAAAGUGCUGCACAUUUUGAUUAUGAUUGUUGAGAGAACUAAUUUUAGUUGCCAGUAGUCUACCUUUAAGUUUUUUCACCAACUGUAUGAAGUCUUUUUUCCACCAUUUUGUUCCUAAGCAAGCAACGUUCACAUUUUCACACCAAGGAUAUUCAUGAAGUUAUUCUGCCACAGUGGGCUUUUCCUGUUUGCCUUCUGCAUAUUGUACUAAGUGGAGUCCUCCGGUGCCACUCCACUUUGAAAGCUGGUCAUUCUCUAGAAUUGAACUCGUGA